rnacentral:lncRNA from 1 species
CGCUCUUAAAAAAGUGCUUUUUUCACCUGUUCAGAUAAGGAGAGAUUUGGGAUCCUUGCCCUGCAUGCUGACGCUGCCCAAGCAGGGGGUGGGUUGGGAGGAAUAAAGGUUUGGUGAAGGUUCCUCAAUGGCCACCUGAACCUGUGGGGCACGGUCCCCUCCUCUUCCUUCCCCAGCUCCUGGGAAGGAUCCGGCAGAGCUCCCCAUGACACUGUAAAGCGAGGCGGUGCUCAGCAGGAGCAAAAGGUGAUGUGAAGAAACUCUUUAAUGAUCCAGGUUUGAUCUGGAAAUAAAAGCCCUUCUUAAAAACGCCCUCCCAAAGCCCCCUCCCUUUCUUUUCAAGCAAUGUUUUUAUAAUUCGAACCAGCUCCGAGGGCUCCGGUUACACAUCUGCCUGCUGCAUGUGCUGUUGCAGUCCAUCUCAGCAAGCCGUAAAAGUACAGGUGUUUCGGUUUUAAAGUAACCAUUUUAAAAAUAAACUCCGAAUGGGGCCUGCGAUGAUUAUUUUUUACGGCUGGCCCCGCUCCCCCGGCAGCCCGUCCGCUCAAGGGUUAAGCGGCGGCGAAGCACCGCUCGUGACUUCAUUGCUCUUCCAUCUGGUGGGAACCCUGAAAACCAUUUGUAAAUUAAUUUUUGACUUUGAAUGCAUGCUGCCGCAUACAGUCAGCGCUGGAUCCUGCACAGACAGCUUGCGCUGCUGCUCCGACAUGUCUCCAGCGACGGGCUCGGCUCCCACCGCCUCCGAGUGCAGGAGAAUGAAAUCAUUAACUGUAGAGUGUCCAUCUGACACCCGCGCAAUCCGAAGUUCAGCUCGUCGGGAGGAAGGACAGAUUGAGCCGCAAAUUUCUGCCUCUCCGCUUCUCCUCGCCUGCCUUCAGGAGGCUGGCGAGGAGGACGCGGGUUCCCCGCUAGCCCUGUCACAGAUGAGAAAAUCUAUUAUUUCCUAUUAAAUCCCUUCAAAUAAUCCAUUCAUCUGAUCUUUGAGGAAUGCAAAGCGCUCAUUAAUCAUACAACUGGUGAGCACUGAUUUACAGAUUAAUCUAAUUAGACCUCAUUUGUUUCAGGUGAAAGCAGCUAUAUUAACAACCGCUGCCCAGCGCACAAAGCCCCGCACAUGUGGCUCCGUGUAGAAGUCAGGAUCAAUUACGGGAUUGACUUUGUGGCGCUCGCGCCGCUCUCGUUGAGGCUCUGUCAACAUUUCCAUUACAAAUUCAAACGCCGCUUUUAAGGGAUUUAUUACUCAGCCAGAACAUCGGGUUGGCUCUUGGCAUCCGAGAUCUAAGCCCCGGGUAUUUAGCGAAACCACUCGACCUGGUGGGAGCCCCCACAAGGGCAGGGGCAGGAGCAGGGCGAAGCAGCAGGGCCGUGGUGUCUGCUGCGGGGCUCUGAAGUCAGGCUUUGCCUUAGGAAUGCCGAUUUGGUUGAAUUAAUUUCUGGAUUUCAGCCCCAGAGGGACAGGCCCUGGUGGGUACCAUGUCCUCGGGUACGGCUGUGGGUGCUGAGCUGCUCCGGAGCAGCCAAAUGCCACCUGCAGCACUGCUGUAAGGCUGGGAGCUUUCCCCUUUAUCCCAGGGAAUGCCCCAGCUCCCAGGUGGGCAGAGCAAUCCCCAAAUAAGCCCUAUUGUUCAGACUUUUGUUACGAGGCCUGAAGAGAAAAGGCUAUCGGUGGCGCUUCCAAAGGAGCAAUUCGUAUUUGUAGCCUUUUAGUUUACCAGAUGUGUGCUUUGGGCCAGCCACGAGAUUCGAGUGGAAACCUGAGCAUUUAACUGACAAGGCAAAAAAAAAAUAAAAAAAAUGCUAAGCCUGUUUGUGGGAUGCA